GGCAGGCUGACGGCCUAAAGGGGUGGGGAGGAGGGGACCCCCUGUGUGAAGGUCUGAAGUCGCAACAGUGCCCGGGUGUGCUCCAGCAGGCUGGAGGUGGGGCGCCUCAAGAGUGGGGGGCAGGUGAGGCCAGUCGUGACCGCUCACACGCUCAGGCUGAACAGCGUGUGGCAAGCCAUGGAGAGUCCCUGAGCAAUUUUUAACACGGUAAGAGCCCUCUUUAGGAAAAGCAACUCUUUGUAGUACGAAGGGUAGAGCAGAGACGAGGGUCACUGAUACGGCAGCAGCAGGGAACCAGAGAGGAGGGGGCCAGAACCCCCAAUCCGGAGACGGGGAAGCUCCCGGGCUCCUGGUGGGCAGAGCUGGAGGAGGAUGAUGAUGACGAUGAUGUCUCCACUCCUGCAAACACACCGUGCCUGAUUCGCUUCUGGGCGUAUUUACACCAUUUACACCAAUCCACCCUCCCGCAAAGCCCGCCCUUCUCUGUUUGGUCUAACUGAAUCCAACCCGCCCUCAGGACAAGGCACCAACCACCGUCUUGGGUCCAGCCAGCCUCCCCUGCCUCAAUGUGAAGGAACUGCCUCUCCUUUGAACACCCUGCCAUGAACAGUCUGAGCGGGUCACCCAGUUGUUUCCUGGAGAUGUUUCAAGACACAAAAAGCAGCAAGAUCCACUGGGCUGGGUCCACCGGGCUGGAUCUACGAGCUACGCUUACAACCGUCAGCACAACUAUGGGCAGGCCAUUCCCCCCACCUUUGCACUCUUUUCCUGGAUGUCGUUAAGGAGUUAGGCCAAUUCCUUCCAGCGCCAAAAGUCUGCCGGGGAUUGCUUCCUACUGCAAACUUGAAACAUCUUAAUCUUGCCUUAUCAUUGAGAUUUUCCUAUGUUUAUAACUUCUCCUGCCAACAGCCUGUAGUUGAAGAACAAGGCCUAUGGAAUAUAGCCCACAACCUCUUGCACAUGCUGGAGACUCCGUAAGAGCGAUCUGACCCAUGGAUCUAACUUGUUCUCCUAAAACGACCUGUGCAAAGAGCCUCACGUAGGGACGGCCACACGGCGGGUCCCCGUAAAAGCCACUUGUUUCUUCGUCCCCCCACCCCAGGCCAGUUAACAGUUCAGGGCAGUCUGGGACAGACUAAAAUUUACAGCAGAUCUGUUUCUUCCUCUCUUUUUUUAAAACUGCCUCAUGAUGACGUACUUGCCUUCAUCGACGCCUUUGGCAUAAACACAGAGAUGAUAUGCCCUGAAAACGUCUCAGGGACUGAUGCAUUAUACCACUCACUUUUGUAUCUCCAAAAUAAAGUUGUUUUGUUUUUUAAGUACUAGCACAACAGGGAGAAAAGAAACUCUCUCCAAACCGAUCUCUCUGUUUGUCCUCACAUCCAGCGAGGUCAACGGACACCGACAGUUCAGAUGGCGUAGGGCGGGGAUGGUGGCAGGAAGACGAAAUGGCCAGAGGGCAUAAAAACUCCAAGACUCCCCCCCCCCCCCACCCCGUGAAGACAAAAGACAAUGGACUCAGAGCACAUCCAGGUGGCCGAGGCCACCGUGUUCUGCUAACGGGCCUCGUGCCGGCAGCAACUGAGGAAGCAGAAGUAACUGAAGGGCAUUUUUCUAUAGACAGGCCGACCACCAAAAUGGCUUCAGUGUGGCCAAUCCCAACACAAAAGCUCUUUCCCACAUUCGCUUACUCAUUCAGUCUUUCUUUUUUCUCCCAUUCAUUCCAAAAGUUCAUUCAGAUAUUCAUUUACAGUCUACUCUUCUUUUCGCUCCUUCAUUCAGAAGUACCUACCGUGCACUAACACCAUCCACUGUCUGUCUUAACUGGGAGGGGAAGAAACCACCACCCGGGCAGCACUCGUGUGUGUAAACAAGUCUACACGGAGUGUCUGUUAGGUGUGGGUCACCGUCGUCGGCACAAAAUUAUACAAGGUCCUCAACCCCGUGGAGGACAGCAAACAAACAAACAAGCAUCAAAUAAUGUCUACCCGUGGAGAAUUACCUGUGGGAAACAGAAAACACAAACAGUACAAGGCAACGUCCAGUGAACAGAAAACAGAAUGGCAUAAAGCCAUAGUUUGUUGGUAAUACAAUCAAUCGCUUCCCGGCUCUGAAGCCAUACUGGUUUAUGGCGUGAAGUCUGCAUGUUUGUCUUAGAAGCUUCCUGGAAGAAGGGAAUCGUUUUGAGGGUGGAGAGGAAGUGAAGGAGGGGUUCCCAAAGAGGCAUUGCACGUGGAUUGGCGAAAGAAAAACGGAGGCCAUUCAGAUUCUUCGGGGGAAGGAAGCCAAGGCUCGGGGAAGAGAAUGAGGCUGCCUCUGGCGAAUCCAUGACGGAACAGCCUCCCAGGACAGAGGCCAGGCGGUAGCUGAUUCCAGCACAGCACAGGAUCAGGGAGGCAUGAGCUCGCUGUCUCUCAACCCAGGCCCUGGGUCACCACAUCGGCCCCUACGCCCACCCUUGGCCAUCAAGAGCACCUUAGAAACACCCAUCCUGAUAUGCCUGCCCUCUGCCUCUCAACUUCCAAGGGGCUGACGUGGCUCCUUUACCCCUGACAGCCCAAAACCAGAAUUCCAGAUGCCAGCAGCCCCGCCUUUUCCUUCUCCACACCAGUCCCUUAAACAUUUGCUUUUGCUUCCCUGCCUCCAUGCUGGAUUGCCAUGCCCUGGGGCAGAAAAUCACCCAGUUCAUCCCUGGCCCCGAGUCCCGAGUCACUGUUUGCCAACCUGAGCAAACUAAUCAAUGCUUUUCCAGGACCCGGUCAAAGGCCCUUUGUCCCCAAAGCCCUCCUUCUCCUCCCCUUCCCCUGGAAUGAACUGUUAAACAGACCCAAGGCAAACGCUCCCAGGGAGUCAACAAGCACUUGAGAAUCUGUGGCCGCAGGUGGUAGCAUCUGUGCUUGUCUAACUUCUACCCUGUUAAUCUCCUCCCCUUUCUCCGCCCUUCUUAAUUUCAGCCCCCGCUCCAAAAAUCUCCCCCACGUUGGAGACGGGAGGGUCAGGGUGAGCCCAACAAAGAAAGCCCGCCAUGUUGACUCAGGAGUGGCUGGAGUUGUCUGGGCUCAAAUGGUCACGGUCAGCGGGGGAUUACAGACCAGGAAGAGGGGGGCAGCCCUGUUUCUCUCCCUUCUCUCCAUCCAACUCUCCCCCUCCAGGCAAAGACCAGGUCAAGCUCACCUCACCACCUUGACUCUUGUGCCCACCCCUCCCCCCACCCACUCACCCCCAGAGCAAUUCAAGGAGAAGAGGCACAUGCAGUCCACCACCUGUGUGCCAGAUGUAUACACAGCUGUACAGGCACCAGUGUGGACCCAGCUGCCGACUACACACCUCCCACAAGUUGUUUUCUCUAAGGCUCAGACAAGCAGAGAAAAGGAUUUGUUCAGAAGUCCAGGUCGUAAUUAAAACACAGCCUGUCUCUUCCCAAUGCCCCGGAUGGCGUCCCCCACGGUCACUUCCCCCUCUGAAUGCUAAUGAGACCUCACUCUGGGUUCAGAGCCUGGCAGGCUGGCUGUGCCCUUGGAAAGCUAGACAAGGUUUCCCAAAACGUCCGGCUCUUCCGGGCAGACAUAAUAACUCCCAACUUUUCCUACCAUUACGAGUUCUCCCACCCGUGAAAACCCUCCGAAUGAUUCCUUAUCUCCCCUUUGCGUCUAACUCCCUCACCUGUGAAAUGGGAACAAUGCCCUCCAGCUCACGGAAAAGCCCCCAGUGCAGUGCCCAUCCCAGAGACUAAGCCUCGUUCAGCGUUCUUCCCCUGCUGGUGAACGCCCUUGGCAUGGAGACACGGGGGAUGCGUCGGUCCGUGGGGCCACCCUGGCCUCGGGGAGCUCCCGGUCUCCAGCAGGCAGCAGGCUCUUGACCGAGACCACACUACCGUGUAUCCGGGGUAUACAGGAGGGCAAGAGCCAGAGUGGCACAGAGGAGAGACCCGCCCCCUUGGCCUAGGGGGGCACAGAAUCUUUGGUCUUGCCCUCCCCCUCUGCCCUUUCUCUUCCUCCUGCUGGCACUUUCCCCUGCCCUCUAACCAGGCAGGCAAAUGGCCUGGCUGCAAUCCCAUUCUGUGUCCCGCUCGCACCUUUUCUUGGGGAGCCCCAAGCUGGGAGACGGGCAGCCCUCAGCUUUGGUGAGAGAGCCUGUGUGGGCGGGCUCUGCUGCUGCCAAGCAGCGAGGAGGACUGGGGGCGCAUCGCUUAAUCUCUUGCGGCUCCCGUUUGCUCAGAUACAAAAGGCAAUCAUGAUGCCGACACGUUGCUGGAUCAGUGAGGACCGUACGAGCACAUGGAUGUGCAGUGUUUUGCGACCCGUCAGGGAUCGCACUGGUUUUAGUCGUUCCUAUUCACCCUGCCUCUCCGGCUUUUGCUCACUGGGGAUAUUUUUUGCCCCAAGGUGGCAACGUAUGCUUAGGAGUUUCCGGAGUCCUGUCCUGGGAGAGGGCUUCUUCCUUAGCAGCGUGAGCUGCCCUGAUGUGGGCACGACUUCAUCUCUUAAGAGUGUGGUGCGGCCCCGGGGGGGUGGGGGGGUGAACCCAGGGGACUCACUGCUCACAGUGCUGCGGGACAGAGCACAGGCCUGGGACUGUCCCACUGCCGCGGGCCAGGACCCGGGAGAGAAGCCCAACCCAGCUCCCGCCUCCCUGCCCUGUGCUGGCUGCCUGCGAUGACAGUGGAGAAGAGGAGAGGUGGGUGAUGGGAGCAGCGAGACCAGGCCUCGAGGGUUCUUCCUCUACCAACGGGCCUCAGGAAAGCCACUGUCCUUCCCCUUUCUUGGCUGCAGAGGGGCGUGUCUAUUCCUCGUGUCUCCUCGUGAGGAGGCCACACCUGGCCACCAACACAGCCCUCUCUCCAGAAGGUGUUCCCGGUCUCCAGAAGGUGUUCUGGCAUGACACGGCCAUGCUCUGGGUUGGGAAUCCCUACUCAGCAGCUCAGGAGACAAGGGCAUUUCAAAAGCCCAUAUGAAGGCGUGACACCUGAGAAUGUCCUCGAGAACAAGUCUAAGGCCACCAGGAAAGAGGCACAGGAUGUGUAUUUCAGCCUCCAAGUUAUUUUACUUCAACGGGAGAGAAGCCCGUGGAAGAGACAAAAGAGGGAAUGAGUCUUUCUCCAAUACUCACUGGGUGCCAGCAACCGCCAUAUUCCUUCUAUCUAGCACCUCGAUGAACUUGUGAGGCACUCUAGUUCUAGAGGAGGUAGAACAAGUUUGU